CUUUUCCAACACCAGCUUCUUCUGCUGCCUUGGCCGCACGAGCCCUUUCUUUCUUUCUCUCCCUCUCAGCCUGACGGGCCUCCUGUCGCUGUCUAUAAACCUCCGCGAGUCAAAGUUCCAGUUCUCGGUUUUUCUUCUGCAUCUCAUCAAUCAUAGCCCUCUGCUUCACACAUGUUGGGGAACGUUGCAUGGGAAAUUUUUUUUUGCCUACGCACACGCAAUACAUAUCCAUGAUGCUGAUCAUCUACGAGAGGGGAGAGUGAAUCUGCAUACCCUUGUAGAUCGCUAAGCGUAAGUGUAUAUAACGCAGUUGAUGUAGUGGAACAUCUUCACGAUCCAAAUCGCAGCCCGUCCCGCGAUCUCAUCACGAUUCGUCCCGCGAUCCCAUCACGAUCCAUCCUGAUCUAGUGUCGAACGGACGACACCUCCGCGUCCAGCACACGUACAACUCGAUGACGAUCCCCACCUUCUUGAUCCAGAAAGAGGGGCGGAGAGAUAGAUGAGUUCUCCAACAUGACAGCAUGGUGGUGGUGGUGAACUAAUCCAGCAGGGCUUCGCCUAAGCACUACCGAAUUAGACUAGAGGAGAAACAAAUCUAGAGGGAGAGAGAGGCAGCC
rnacentral:lncRNA from 1 species